UGGGGAAUUUUGGACAAUGGGCGAAAGCCUGAUCCAGCCAUGCCGCGUGAGUGAAGAAGGCCUUCGGGUUGUAAAGCUCUUUUAGUCGGAAAGAAAGAGUUGCAAUGAAUAAUUGUGAUUUAUGACGGUACCGACAGAAAAAGCACCGGCUAACUACGUGCCAGCAGCCGCGGUAAUACGUAGGGUGCGAGCGUUAAUCGGAAUUACUGGGCGUAAAGGGUGCGCAGGCGGUCUUGCAAGUCAGAUGUGAAAGCCCCGGGCUUAACCUGGGAAUUGCGUUUGAAACUACAAGACUAGAGUGCAGCAGAGGGCAGUGGAAUUCCAUGUGUAGCAGUGAAAUGCGUAGAGAUGUGGAAGAACACCGAUGGCGAAGGCAGCUCCCUGGGUUGACACUGACGCUCAUGCACGAAAGCGUGGGGAGCAAACA
rnacentral:rRNA from 1 species